GGGAAAAUUACAAAGGGGGAACACACAUUCCAGGUUGAGUACAUCCACAAAGAUGAAAAGUCAAUUCAGUUAGACAGCGGUCCCGCCACAAACUGUUUUCGGUUCUCGCACUUGCUCCUGGUUUUGAACGACUUUGCAACCCGCCAGGAGAGUGCUUUUUGAACGGAAGGUGCCUAAGACUAAGGGGAACAAAUGCUACCUAAGAGCCAGCUGGAGCACCCCGUAUU